UAGAUAAAAAUCAUUAAUAAUACAAUCAGAUGUGUUCAGGUGUUAAAUGUGUAGCUCAACAUUACUAUGUCCUGAUCAAUGAGCUUUGCCCUAAACUGAGUAGAGUGACUUUGUCAUUGUGUUAUUGUGCUGAUCCCAACAGGAUGCAGGUUAAAGACUGGAAAAUACAAAAAGUGAAAAACAGCUCUCAUAAAUAUCAUUGACAACGUGCUGCUACUUCAAUAAAGAUGUAGUGACUUCACCUCUUAAACUCUGCCAGCUCCACCAGUGGCUCCAUCAUCACUAACUCAUGUUGUGCAGCCAAACACAAAUCACUUAUUUAAAGAAUCAUCAGGGUAAAUUUAAGUUGAAAUCAAGUCUUUAAAGCAGGGCUGUUCAAUUACAAAUUCAACUGGGCCGGAUUUUAAACCAGAAAAUGUUGAUGGGCCAGACAUUUUCAGCAGCAGGCAACCUAUUGGAAACUUUUUUGUUUUAGCUAUUGGUGAUGACACAUUUCUAAACAGGUGCAAAUUACUGUAGUAAAAGUAGCAAUGUUUUUAGUGUCACAUUUGAAAUACAAAAAAAAGUAGUCACAUAUCUGACAGAGGAACAUCACAUAAUGCAGAAACAGAAUAAAGAAGAGCUGUCAAUGCACAGAAGCAUAACAAGUGACAUUAACAGUAACUAAUAACACACUCUAUCUCUCUACCACACACACACACACACACACACACACACUUCCUGACGUUUACCUUUAAGGUCAAGUGUUUAUGAAAAUCCACAGGACAUAGUUUUAUACAGUCUAUGGCAGCAACAGUCAUGUUUACAACAACAAAGUCACUAUAUAAACUCAAUGAUAUCUCACUGGAAACAAACCUAACAUGUCAAUAAAAUAAAUAUUACUCCUGACAUCACAACACUGAGUUACGUUAUAUACGCAUGAAGAACAGACAUCAGUAUCAGUCAUUCAUCCUGCUCUCUGUCCCACCUCUACUGAGGACACUCACUGUCCACAGGUAGGCUGUCUCAGGUACAUUUUAAGAUAAGUGACAAACUAAGUUAAACAGACUACAUACACACAGCUUUCAUUUUAGUUUGCUUUAACUAUUUGCUAUUGGUCCCACUAGUGUGAUGUGCUUGUGUAAAAUGUGAUUGUAAACCAUAACGGCAGUGAAUGAGGGACAGAGCAGAUUGAAAUAUGUCUUUCUACAUGCUGAACACGUGUAUUGAUAAAGCACUGGCUUUUUACUGCUCAAGGUUUUAUUGAGUCUGCAGCAUGAUGAUACAUGAAACCAAAACUUUACAAAGUAACAAUGAAAGAGACGAUAACAGUGGAGCUUAUUAGUACUACAGUCUUGAUUCAUUUUGCCCCGGGCUGUUUAAUACAGAGUCUCCACACCAAUCCCUACCCAGCCACUCUGAGGUUGCUUCUGGUCCUGAUAUAGCCUGCAGGCCGCCAACUGAAUAGGCCUGCUUCAAAGGUUAGGAGUGAAUUUUCAACUCAGUUUUUCUACUUAAAUUAAAGUUAUACUAUGCAGGAUUGUUGCUUACAGUUUGUAAACACACUUGCCAGUGAAAGUGAAAGUAAAAGCCAACCCCAGAUUCAUUCUUGUUUGGCAUUUCUUCUCAUUAUAUUUGUGUUUUCAGGUGUUGUAUCUCUUUGAUUCCUGCUGCUUACAGUCUGGCAUCUGGUCCCCACCUUUUUAUAAAGCCCUGACCUCACCUAACAGGCAGAGGGCAGAGUCUCUGCAGAUAAAUACACCAGCACACACUGAGAGUGGCUCAUAAGUGAUGAUUGAGAGGGAUUAUUUCUGUAUGAGUCUAUACACUGUUUUUAAGGAAGAUCCUGCAGAGUUUAUCUUUAAGGUUUUAGCUCCACAUUGCUCUGCCACAGUCAAUGGAUUAAACCACUGAACAAGACAAAUAGACUUCAUUGUGGAUCAGUAUAAUAUCAGCCUGAUGUCUGCAGUUUAGUGUCAUCACAACUUCCACAUCAUAA